rnacentral:rRNA from 1 species
UAAAACUCUGUUGUUAGAGAAGAACAAGGAUGAGAGUAACUGCUCGUCCCUUGACGGUAUCUAACCAGAAAGCCAUGGCUAACUACGUGCCAGCAGCCGCGGUAAUACGUAGAUGGCAAGCGUUGUCCGGAUUUAUUGGGCGUAAAGCGAGCGCAGGCGGUUCUUUAAGUCUGAUGUGAAAGCCCCUGGCUCAACCAGGGAGGGUCAUUGGAAACUGGAGAACUUGAGUGCAGAAGAGGAAAGUGGAAUUCCAUGUGUAGCGGUGAAAUGCGUAGAUAUAUGGAGGAACACCAGUGGCGAAGGCGACUUUCUGGUCUGUAACUGACGCUGAGGCUCGAAAGCAUGGGGAGCAAACAGGAUUAGAUACCCUGGUAGUCCAUGCCGUAAACGAUGAGUGCUAAGUGUUGGAGGGUUUCCGCCCUUCAGUGCUGCAGCUAACGCAUUAAGCACUCCGCCUGGGGAGUACGACCGCAAGGUUGAAACUCAAAGGAAUUGACGGGGGCCCGCACAAGCGGUGGAGCAUGUGGUUUAAUUCGAAGCAACGCGAAGAACCUUACCAGGUCUUGACAUCCUUUGACCACUCUAGAGAUAGAGCUUUCCCUUCGGGGACAAAGUGACAGGUGGUGCAUGGUUGUCGUCAGCUCGUGUCGUGAGAUGUUGGGUUAAGUCCCGCAACGAGCGCAACCCUUAUUAUUAGUUGCCAGCAUUCAGUUGGGCACUCUAGUGAGACUGCCGGUGAUAAACCGGAGGAAGGUGGGGAUGACGUCAAAUCAUCAUGCCCCUUAUGACCUGGGCUACACACGUGCUACAAUGGAUGGUACAACGAGUCGCAAAACCGCGAGGUUAAGCUAAUCUCUUAAAGCCAUUCUCAGUUCGGAUUGUAGGCUGCAAUUCGCCUACAUGAAGCCGGAAUCGCUAGUAAUCGCGGAUCAGAACGCCGCGGUGAAUACGUUCCCGGGCCUUGUACACACCGCCCGUCACACCACGAGAGUUUGUAACACCCAAAGUCGGUGAGGUAACCUUCGGGAGCCAGCCGCCUAAGGUGGGACAGAUAAUUGGGGUGAAGUCGUAACAAGGUAA